rnacentral:lncRNA from 1 species
CCGACUCCAAUUCCCAACCCCCAGGCGCAGAGUAAGAAAAUGAGCUGGAACUGUCUCCUGAAGCCUGUCAAUGUGAGAUGCCUUGCUCUCCCUUUGCCUUCUGCCAUGAUUGUAACCUUCCUGAGGCCUUACCAGAAGCGCAUGCCGGUGCUAUGCUUCCUGUACAGCCUGCAGAACGCAUGUGCAUAUCACUUCAAUCUAUGAAUGUCCCAAAUGUAGCAAUGAAAAGUUGAGCCUGGCAAGGAAUGUUUGAACCAUGAGACUAAGUUCUCAUCAAUGGGAGCUGAGCAGAGAUAAUAAACCAUUUCCAGAACUGACUGCUGAAAACAUCUCAAGUGACUCUCCAUGUCUCUCUUCCCUUG